AUGGCCCAGGGAAGCGAUGCCGCCGCGUGCCGCUGCAGUCUGCCCCUGCUGCCACUGCCACCGCGGCGCCUCCUCCUCGUCGUCCUCGUCGCCAUGCUCACCGUGGUUUUGGUGGCGCCGCCGUCGGCGAGGGCGGCGUGGGUGGAGGACUACCCGUCGGGGGUGCCGUGCGGGGCGACGAUCCCGGUGGAGCAGUGCGACCCGGGGGACGCGGCGGCCAACAGCGCCUGCAUGGACAUUAAGGUCCCGUUUGGAUUCCCUCCGCUCCGCGGCUCCGCGCCGGAGCAGAGCGGCAAUCCAGUUAGGGAGCGUUCGGAAUCCCUCCACUCCCAAGUCAGCUCGCGGAGCCGGCGGAGCUGCAGGCUGAAAAGGUAA
rnacentral:rRNA from 1 species